rnacentral:Y_RNA from 1 species
GGCUGGUCUGAGUGCAGUGGUGUUUACAACUAAUUGAUCGCAAUCAGUUAUAGAUUCCUUUGUUCCUUCUCCACUCCCACUGCUUCACUUGACCAGAGGAAA